UGACAACUAAAAUCCCCUUGCAGGCCGUCCAUAUCAACCUACGGCAGGUCAGAGCGCGUAACCCCUCCAGAACCGCAAGCCCAGGCCCACACCCUUUCCCCUUGUCAACAUUGUCACUUUAAACAGAACAUCUAGCCUUAUCGCCCAACCUGGAAAUUGACAGUGCAGGAGAAACCGACACCAGUGAGCAGCAUCUGUGCAGCACAUCUCCUCCUCUCUCUCGGCUUACAGGAUAUCCUGCCAAAUGGGAGAAGACAACUGCGUGACCCACCUUGGGCAAGAGCAGCGCGCACUGAUUCGAGCACAGCGGGAGCGGGCGCUGCCGCCUCUCUCAGCCCCGCGCACAAAGAGCAGCCCCAGCCCUGGAGACGCGUAUGAAUUCAGAAUGUCAAAGCUCAUUUUCUCAUCAGCCUCAGAUGCUGUUAAAGCACUGCAAGCUUGACUUCUCUUCUCGGACACGUUGGUUUUACAAUGGCGCAGGGUCAGCGUCCAGCUUACACCAGUGUAAGAAUCUGGAUCCACCCAAUUGAGAUGAUACUUGACCCGGAUGGUUGGAUUUCUGCUGUCAGUACCAAAUCCACAGGUCUGUUGGCCCUGUGUCUGGCAUGUGGCCAGCCUGAAGCCCA
rnacentral:lncRNA from 1 species